rnacentral:rRNA from 1 species
AAUCUUGGACAAUGGGGGGAACCCUGAUCCAGCCAUUCAGCGUGUGCGAUGAAGGCCUUCGGGUUGUAAAGCACUUUUGCCAGGGAAGAAAUUGCGCGGGCUAGUACCCUGCGUGGAUGACAGUACCUGCAGGACAAGCACCGGCUAACUACGCGCCAGCAGACGCGGUAAUACGUAGGGUUCAAGGGUUAAUCGGAAUUACUGGGGGUAAAGGGUGCGCAGGCGGCUCGGAAAGAAAGAUGUGAAAUCCCAGGGCUCAACCUUGGAACUGCAUUUUUAACUACCGGGCUAGAGUGUGUCAGAGGGAGGUGGAAUUCCGCGUGUAGCAGUGAAAUGCGUAGAUAUGCGGAGGAACACCGAUGGCGAAGGCAGCCUCCUGGGAUAACACUGACGCUCAGGCACGAAAGCGUGGGGAGCAAAC